AAGAGAUCGGGAUAACACCUGGAAACAGAUGCUAAUACCGGAUAACAACAGAUGAUGCCUAUCAACUGUUUAAAAGAUGGUUCUGCUAUCACUCUUGGAUGGACCUGCGGUGCAUUAGCUAGUUGGUAGGGUAACGGCCUACCAAGGCAUGAUGCAUAGCCGAGUUGAGAGACUGAUCGGCCACAUUGGGACUGAGACACGGCCCAAACUCCUACGGGAGGCAGCAGC
rnacentral:rRNA from 1 species